rnacentral:rRNA from 1 species
GUGCCAGCAGCCGCGGUAAUACGUAGGGUGCGAGCGUUAAUCGGAAUUACUGGGCGUAAAGCGUGCGCAGGCGGUUUGUUAAGACCGAUGUGAAAUCCCCGGGCUCAACCUGGGAACUGCAUUGGUGACUGGCAAGCUAGAGUAUGGCAGAGGGGGGUAGAAUUCCACGUGUAGCAGUGAAAUGCGUAGAGAUGUGGAGGAAUACCGAUGGCGAAGGCAGCCCCCUGGGCCAAUACUGACGCUCAUGCACGAAAGCGUGGGGAGCAAACAGGAUUAGAUACCCGUGUAGUCC